CGGCUCCCCGGCGCGCACGCCCGGAAACAGCAGCGCCAGCGUUCGGAACCCCGAGAAGCGUCGCCGCCGCCGCCCACCGCCGCCCUCGGUCAUGCCGGUGAUCUUCGAUGCAUAAAUAAGACCACCAGACCAGCAUGGCUCCGAGGAUGGGCGUCCACCCAUGUCAGAGUCGAUGGUCCUGAGAUGGCCCCCUAGUUCAAGAAACAGGAUUUUAAAGAAGCACGAGUUCUUUGUAGACAUGACUUGUGAAGGCUGCUCUAAUGCAGUCGCUCGGGUCCUCAACAAGCUAGGAGGAGUUGAGUUUGAGAUCGACCUGCCCAACAAGAAGGUUUGCAUCGACUCUGAGCACAACGUGGACACUCUGCUGGAGACGCUGAAGAAAACAGGGAAGACUGUUACCUACAUCGGCCCCAAAUAGCGAGGGCCUGGGCCCCCGGCCCGCAGGAUGGACCAGAGUGGGCAGAUGAAAUGAUUGUCUCUGUUGAAAAUCCGAAAGAAUCAGGGUCUGGAGACCUUCCGGGUUGAUGAACACAUCCACGUACCAGAAGGCGUGCACCCCGACUCUAUGGGGACAGAAGCUCCUGUGCUUGGGAUCUGCCCAGACCCCACCCUGUGGACCUCUUCAUCGGGCUGUUCAAGUGUGUCCUUUAUCAUUUCCUUUAAUAAACUGGGAAACGUCCCUGGUCCUUCUCCACACAGACACUGAUUAUUACCCGUUUCAUACGCAUCCGGAUGAGUCUGCAAAUGUGAAUUUUAAUGCUAAAAGAGCCACUCCACUGAGAAGAAUCAUGCACCAUCCCCACCCAUAUGGCCUGCACACCCAGGCCUUCCUUUGAAGAGUCCACCUCGUGACCCUGUAUUUAGGACGUUCACUGGAAACCACUCCGUGUCCUCUGUCAUUGGACCUGAACCCACCGUGUGUGUCUUUUCCAAUGGGCAAUUAUGUGGGCUCUUUUGCUUAACCAGGGCCAGCUUCCCCGGAGCAGGACUGCUUGUCUCUCUGACACGUCCUCCCCCGGCUCCCCAGAAUGAAAUUUUCACCAGCCAAACAACCUGUAUUUUAAGUCAGACCAUUGCAAACAUAUCUUCAAAUCUUGGUGCAAAUCAGUCUGCCAUUUUCUUAUGAUGGGGUGCACAAGUAGACAGGAAGCCACGAACUUCACUUUGUUACAUGGAUGAAACCCCACUGUCCCCUUCUCUGACCUUUAGGAAAAAUGAAAGAGAGAAACUUUCAAAGUGAGAGCACGCUUAGCACACGACUCUGUACCCUGCCUUUUCCUUCUUGCUGAUCACUGUGUCUUGAGAUGGUUUCGUGCCACACAGUUUCGCCCUUGCAGUUAUAGUAUCCAUACCGGUUCAAUUCUGGGUGUGAAUAUACAGGGAGCUAAAAUUAAUAGUAAUUUUAUUCUUUCUAAAAUAAAGUCUUCAAAAACAGAAAAAGAAAUAAAAAGGAAUAGCUCUGGCCUCC